UGGGAUUAAAGAUGGGCACCGCCCCUGG
rnacentral:piRNA from 1 species